UACGAAGGGGGCUAGCGUUGUUCGGAAUUACUGGGCGUAAAGGGCGCGUAGGCGGCUCUGAUCGUCGGAUGUGAAAUCCCCAGGCUUAACCUGGGAACUGCAUCCGAUACUGGAUGGCUUGAAUCCGGGAGAGGGAUGCAGAAUUCCAGGUGUAGCGGUGAAAUGCGUAGAUAUCUGGAGGAAUACCGGUGGCGAAGGCGGCAUCCUGGACCGGCAUUGACGCUGAUGAGCGAAAGCUAGGGGAGCAAACGGGG
rnacentral:rRNA from 1 species